CUCCAAGAGCCCCUGCGCAUGCUUGUAACUGACUUUGUUAUGUGUCUUGUCUUUUAGCUGGCAGUUCGUCAUAAAAAUGGAGGACGCUUGCAAGAUACUAUGAAUCGUGCGGAAUAAGGGCCAGCGCGACUGAAGUGAGAAACGCUGCAAAUACAUGAAUACUGGGGGCCUGGCAAAAAUCAGCAAAGCUGCUACACAGUUCCCACAGAAUUCCCAGUUCACUCACAAUUGGCUUUGGGAUGGACAGGAUUGCUGACAGUUGGUGAGUCUAAGUCAUCUUCAGGUGAAGUAGCAUUGAUGUCUAUUAGUACCAAUUCGUGACAUGUAUUUCUUUGAGAUGCCAAAAAAUCGGUUCAGUGCAGUCUACAGAAUGCAAAAAAGAACGCCGCCGAAGCCCAUGGGGCACCAAGAACUGAUGUGGGAAGAAAAAGACACCACGACAGCGAAGACUUC